UGCUCGGGCUGCCAGUGUCGCAGGCUGAUGACGCAGGGUGGCGGAGACAAGCUUUAGCAUGGAGUUGCGGGCUGAGUUGACCGGCCGGGAUGGAGCCCGCCGCCCCUUCCAGGUGAGCUGCGAGCCGAGCCUGCCGGGGUUGCUGAGCGGCCUGGAGCAGCUGAAGGGAGAAGUUUCCGCCGUGCUGAGCCAGCUGGUCCUGCAGGAGAAGGGAGAGAACGGCCCGGGAGACGGCGAGCAGGAGUCCGCAGGUGAAGACGAGGAGGAAGAUGAUGAUGAUGAUGAGGAGGAAGAGGAUGAUGGAGAUGAAGAUAAUUCGAGGAAUGGAACAUCUUCUAAAGGGCCUCCUACAAAAAGGUCAAAGACCCGGGACAGCUGACGCGGGGUCCGUGGCCGGAAUUAAAAAACUGCCCAUGAUUUGAACGUGCAGGCUGCGGAUGUAUAAACGGGGUUCAUGCGCGUCGUCCCCCUGCACCCCGGCGGCUCCUGGACUAUAAAGCCCCCCCCCCAGACACGGCAGCUGCUGGUUCCUGCGCUUCGGCUGGAGGGGGAUCUCUGUAACUUUAUUACAAUGAAGUCGAAUGUCAAAUAUAAAAAAAAAAAAAAAAAAAAA